rnacentral:rRNA from 1 species
UAGGGAAUCUUCGGCAAUGGACGAAAGUCUGACCGAGCAACGCCGCGUGAGCGAAGAAGGUUUUCGGAUCGUAAAACUCUGUUGGUAGAGAAGAACGUUGGUGAGAGUGGAAAGCUCAUCAAGUGACGGUAACUACCCAGAAAGGGACGGCUAACUACGUGUCAG